GCUGCCUCUGCUGGGAAGGAAGCGUUUUUCCCACAACAUAUUAAAUGCGGCACUGGAGGAUGGCUGGCUGGUCCAGGGGCCGGAUCUGGCUCUGUUGCUCACAAUGAUUCUGUUUGGCAAGCGUUUUUAAAAAGCCUUGGUAAGUUCCAGAUGGUGACCACUUGCCUCAUUUAUCCUCCAUUUGAAAAAUUUCAAAAACUAUUCAUUUGUUUGCAUACCAAGGCAGUACAGAAUCUUCUACAGUGGCACUUCGAUGCUCAAUCAUCGUUUUUCCUUUUUCUUAAUUUUCAAGUCUCAUGAGUCUCCAAAUCAUAGCAUCUGCAACCAUUUUUCUGUGCAAAGGGCUCCGUGAAGUGCCUAAGCAUGGUCUUCUUUAAGCCUCGACAUGACCCUGUGAUACAGGCAGUAGGUGCUGUUACAUCCGUCGUAAAGAUGAGAAGCUGAGAAUCAGAGAGAUUAGUGCUCUUUCCUGAGGUCACAGAGAGCAAGUGGAGGGGAACAGGACUCUUCCUGCUGCAUCUUUUGGCCCUUCGCAUCCUGCGCUGUCCAGGUGAGAGUCAGCACUCCACAGGUGAGGGACAUUGGAAUGGAGGUGGCAAGAGUACCCUGCAGAGGUCGGAAAAGCUGAAAACCAUCUCACUCAGAAGUUCCAGGACUUGAUGGAGUCAGUGAGCCAGAACAAAUGCUCAAUCAUCUCUCGGAGGAAAGAUGAGCUGGAAUGCCAGUGAGAUCUGAGAGAUGGUCUUCGGGGGAAGCUGCCUACGUCUUUGUAUGGAACCUCCAGCUUUGAAACAGCCUCAGGGAAGAAUCUUAUAAAAGCUGCAAGCUAAGCACAAGCUUAGAAAGACAUGUGGGCACUGGUAGUUGAGUGAGGAGAAAUUCUCCACUUUGCUUAUCUGGAACUUGUUUUGAAUGAGCAAAUGGAAAUUUGGGGAUUUUAAGGCUAGUUUUCUAGGCUUCGUUAAUAUUUCUCAUAAGUCAAAUUCUCUGCCAUGGUUAUUGGGUUUAAGUGAAAUUCUAAAUUUCUUUACUUUCUUUUUUUUUUUGAAAUGGAGUUUCACUCUUGUUGCCCAGGCUGGAAUGCAGUGGCACUACCUCAGCUCACUGCAACUUCUGCCUUUUGGGUUCAAGCGAUUUUCCUGCCUCAGCCUGCUGAGUAGCUGGGACUGCAGGCCUGCACCACUGUACCCAGCUAAUUUUUGUGUUUUUAGUAGAGAUGGGGUUUCAUCAUGUUGGCCAGGCUGGUCUCGAGCUCCUGACCUCAAGCGAUCCACCCACCUUGGUCCCCCAAAGUGCUGGGAUUACAGGCGUGAGCCACCAUGCCCGGCUGAAAUUCUAAAUUUCUAAUGCCCACUGCCUUUCAAUGACCCGGAUUAAAUGGGACUCUCAAAAGAAAUGGCUUUUUGUUGAGUAUUGCCAUCAGAGAACCCGGGUUUCUGCAGUUUCCUUUUAUCCUGUGAGAAAGAUGCUAGUGAUUCUUUACUUUUGAACAAGCAUGAUUGAAUAGCCUGUUUUAGUUACUGUAACAAUGCUGUGUAGCAAUUGUAUUAUUUGGAAAUAAUAUGCCAUAUACAAUAAUAUAAUAUCAAAGGACAGUAAGGCUCCUGUCUUGGUUUUAGAUAAAGAGAAAGCAGAUGCUGUUUUAUUCUCUUGGUGGAUGGUUUAAAUUGCCAUCAGCGGAUCAGUGGUUAAUUGAUCGUCGAUCAGUGGAUCAGUGGUUAAUUGAUCAUUGAGGACUUUUGGAUCCACUUACUGAUAAUUACAUGAAGUCAAUUAUUUUUAAGACCUCUUGAUUUUCAAAUCAUGGCCUGUCAUUUAGCCUUCCGAACUUUUUAUGUGCGGGGAGGGAAGGGGGUAGGUGAGCCAAUGUGAUA
rnacentral:lncRNA from 1 species